rnacentral:tRNA from 1 species
GGGGCCGUAGUCUAGCUUGGUUAUGAUGCUAGCCUGGGGUGCUAGAGGUCGCCGGUUCAAGUCCGGCCGGCCCCACCA